rnacentral:rRNA from 1 species
AAGUCGUACGCUUCUUUUUCCCCGGAGCUUGCUCCACCGGAAAAAGAAGAGUGGCGAACGGGUGAGUAACACGUGGGUAACCUGCCCAUCAGAAGGGGAUAACACUUGGAAACAGGUGCUAAUACCGUAUAACAAUCGAAACCGCAUGGUUUUGAUUUGAAAGGCGCUUUCGGGUGUCGCUGAUGGAUGGACCCGCGGUGCAUUAGCUAGUUGGUGAGGUAACGGCUCACCAAGGCCACGAUGCAUAGCCGACCUGAGAGGGUGAUCGGCCACAUUGGGACUGAGACACGGCCCAAACUCCUACGGGAGGCAGCAGUAGGGAAUCUUCGGCAAUGGACGAAAGUCUGACCGAGCAACGCCGCGUGAGUGAAGAAGGUUUUCGGAUCGUAAAACUCUGUUGUUAGAGAAGAACAAGGAUGAGAGUAACUGUUCAUCCCUUGACGGUAUCUAACCAGAAAGCCACGGCUAACUACGUGCCAGCAGCCGCGGUAAUACGUAGGUGGCAAGCGUUGUCCGGAUUUAUUGGGCGUAAAGCGAGCGCAGGCGGUUUCUUAAGUCUGAUGUGAAAGCCCCCGGCUCAACCGGGGAGGGUCAUUGGAAACUGGGAGACUUGAGUGCAGAAGAGGAGAGUGGAAUUCCAUGUGUAGCGGUGAAAUGCGUAGAUAUAUGGAGGAACACCAGUGGCGAAGGCGGCUCUCUGGUCUGUAACUGACGCUGAGGCUCGAAAGCGUGGGGAGCAAACAGGAUUAGAUACCCUGGUAGUCCACGCCGUAAACGAUGAGUGCUAAGUGUUGGAGGGUUUCCGCCCUUCAGUGCUGCAGCUAACGCAUUAAGCACUCCGCCUGGGGAGUACGACCGCAAGGUUGAAACUCAAAGGAAUUGACGGGGGCCCGCACAAGCGGUGGAGCAUGUGGUUUAAUUCGAAGCAACGCGAAGAACCUUACCAGGUCUUGACAUCCUUUGACCACUCUAGAGAUAGAGCUUCCCCUUCGGGGGCAAAGUGACAGGUGGUGCAUGGUUGUCGUCAGCUCGUGUCGUGAGAUGUUGGGUUAAGUCCCGCAACGAGCGCAACCCUUAUUGUUAGUUGCCAUCAUUCAGUUGGGCACUCUAGCAAGACUGCCGGUGACAAACCGGAGGAAGGUGGGGAUGACGUCAAAUCAUCAUGCCCCUUAUGACCUGGGCUACACACGUGCUACAAUGGGAAGUACAACGAGUCGCGAAGUCGCGAGGCUAAGCUAAUCUCUUAAAGCUUCUCUCAGUUCGGAUUGUAGGCUGCAACUCGCCUACAUGAAGCCGGAAUCGCUAGUAAUCGCGGAUCAGCACGCCGCGGUGAAUACGUUCCCGGGCCUUGUACACACCGCCCGUCACACCACGAGAGUU